ACCUGCACAGGUGCUGCAUGGCUGUCGUCAGCUCGUGUCGUGAGAUGUUGGGUUAAGUCCCGCAACGAGCGCAACCCUUGUCAUUAGUUGCCAUCAUUUGGUUGGGCACUCUAAUGAGACUAGCCGGUGACAAACCGGAGGAAGGUGGGGAUGACGUCAAGUCCUCAUGGCCCUUAUGGUAGGGCUUCACACGUCAUACAAUGGUCGGUACAGAGGGUUGCCAACCCGCGAGGGGGAGCUAAUCCCACAAAGCCGAUCGUAGUCCGGAUUGCAGUCUGCAACUCGACUGCGUGAAGUCGGAAUCGCUAGUAAUCGUGGAUCAGCAUGUCACGGUGAAUACGUUCCCGGGUCUU
rnacentral:rRNA from 1 species